rnacentral:rRNA from 1 species
CAGCAGCCGCGGUAAUACGUAGGUGGCGAGCGUUAUCCGGAAUUAUUGGGCGUAAAGGGUGCGUAGGCGGCAUGUUAAGUUUGUGGUGAAAGCGUGGGGCUCAACCCCAUUAAGCCACAGAUACUGGCAAGCUAGAGUGCAGAAGAGGGUAGUGGAAUUCCAUGUGUAGCGGUAAAAUGCGUAGAUAUAUGGAGGAACACCAGUGGCGAAGGCGGCUACCUGGUCUGUAACUGACGCUCAGGCACGAAAGCGUGGGGAGCAAAUAGGAUUAGAUACCCUAGUAGUCCACGCCGUAAACGUUGAAUACUAAGUGUUGGAGAAAUUCAGUGCUGCAGUUAACGCAAUAAGUAUUCCGCCUGUGGAGUAUGCACGCAAGUGUGAAACAUAAAGGAAUUGACGGGGGCCCGCACAAGCGGUGGAGUAUGUGGUUUAAUUCGAAGCAACGCGAAGAACCUUACCAGGCCUUGACAUCCCUUGCAAAAGCAUAGAGAUAUGCCAGAGGUUAUCAAGGUGACAGGAGGUGCAUGGCC